rnacentral:misc_RNA from 1 species
GAAAAGAAAAAAAAGGGCAAAACGAAGAAAUUGUAAAAAUGUUGGUAGUUUAACUUCACUUGAGCUAGAAUGCAGUAUCAUAUGCGUUUACUUCAGGGUCCUUUCAUCUCUGAGCACAGAACCCACUGUAUUUAAUAUCGAAAUUGCUUCCCUGGAAAUGUUUUUCAACGUUUUAUUAUGUUAAAUGUGUUACCAUGGCAUGCUGCUGUUGUGAGGUUGAGUUGGAAUAUAGUGAUAUGUGUGAGGACACUAAUUUUUGGCUUUUUGUGGAAAAUGAAAUAUUGUACAGCUCUUGGAUUUAUCGGAAAAGCAGGAGAGACAUUUUAGUUUUCUUUCAUUAGUGGGCCGGUGGAAAAUUAGCAAGCACUGCUUUCUAUGCUUGCAGUGAAACUAUGCUUGCUUAUAUUUUCUGUGUUGUCAG